GGCGAAAGGACAGUGCAGCUUGGCCUGGAGAUUGAGACAAACAAAGUUACUACUUCAUGCAUGAUAGGUGAGGUAUGUUUCUUGAGAAAUGACUGAAAAUACCUAUAUAAAAUAUCCGGAGGCGUCGGCGGCGGUGACGUGCUAUUAAGGACCUCUUCCAACUUAUGCAAAAGUUUUCUACAGAACUUCUUCCAAAAUAAUAAUACUUCUCAUGUUAAUCUUAUAAUAUUUCUGUGAUGUGUAUAUAUGCUCCUCGUGAUCAUUGUCACGUAGUAGCACUAGUAAUAAUAAAGCUUGAUCAUGUUAAUCUUACAAUAUGUUUUUUCUGCUCUGCUGACCAAAUGCCUCCCUCUCUUUUUCUUCCUUGACUGCUUCAGUUUAUCCCAGAUUGUAUUAUUUUCUUAAACUGAACGUGUUGCUUGAGUGCUUGACUAAUUUGGAACUGAUCAGUUUUCUUAUAGCCGGUUGUCGGAGAGUUCAGACAACCGAGAGGUACAAUAUCAUGUCUGCUUCCUGUUAAUUCCUUUAUUGGAAGGCAUGCUGAUGCAGGUUCUGUUACUUAGAUUAGGAUCAGUCGAACUGGAUUAGCAAUGUCCAUAACAAAUUGCAUCUUUCCAUGCUCGGUUUACCUUGUGCAGCUAGUAUGUGUGCCCUUUUUUAUCCAGUAGAGAGGUUUCUGAUUUGUUUAACCACUUGGACAGAAAAAUCCAUGCUGAUAUUUGAUAAUGUAAUAUCGUACAAUGAUUAUUGUUUUUAAGAAGUAAAAAAAACAUACUUAAAAUCACUACCUUUUCUCUGCAGGUUUCUUGCCGGAAGUUGAUGGAAAUAUUCAAGAAGUUGAUGAUGGAAGUUACUCCGAGCUUAGUAUGGAGCAUGGACAGUUCACAUAACUGCAAUUUAAUAAAUGGAACAAAAUAUUGUAUACUUUUGGACUUGUAACUACAAGUACCAUUUUCCCUGCUGAUGAUGCAUAAUUUGUUUGACUUGACAUGUAAUUAAGACUGGUAUGCAUGUGUGGAUGUGAGUUGAAUAUAUUCUAAAUAUUGUGUAUUUUGAUUUUCCUGAAUUUCCCUUCAAAAUUAUAUUUCAGAUUUUAUUCUCAAUUGUUUUCAACCUCUGUGAAACGGGACAGUAUAUAUACUGGAAUUGCUAUG
rnacentral:lncRNA from 1 species